GCGAGAGUGGCGGAAUUGGCAGACGCGCCAGAUUUAGGUUCUGGUAUCCGAGAGGAUGUGGGGGUUCGAGUCCCCCCUUUCGCA
rnacentral:tRNA from 1 species